AAAUGAAUAGACGGGGGCCCGCACAAGCGGAGGAACAUGUGGUUUAAUUCGAUGAUACGCGAGGAACCUUACCUGGGAUUGAAAUGUAUAUGCCGGCAGUUGGAAACGAUUGCUUUUCUCUUCGGAGACAUAUAUGUAGGUGCUGCAUGGUUGUCGUCAGCUCGUGCCGUGAGGUGUCGGCUUAAGUGCCAUAACGAGCGCAACCCUCAUCGUUAGUUGCUAUCAGGUUAAGCUGAGGACUCUAGCGAGACUGCCGUCGUAAGGCGUGAGGAAGGUGGGGAUGACGUCAAAUCAGCACGGCCCUUAUAUCCAGGGCGACACACGUGUUACAAUGGUGAGGACAAAGGGCAGCUACCUGGUGACAGGGUGCAAAUCUCCAAACCUCAUCUCAGUUCGGAUCGGAGUCUGCAACUCGACUCCGUGAAGCUGGAUUCGCUAGUAAUCGCGCAUCAGCCACGGCGCGGUGAAUACGUUCCCGGGCCUUGUACACACCGCCCGU
rnacentral:rRNA from 1 species